UUAAUAAAUUCUGUUUUAUCUAUGGUAUGGAUAUUUACUUUGCAAUAAUUUUCAUGACAUGAGACUACAUUUUGCUGCAAUUACAAGCGAUUUGAUCUGGUUUUGUUAUAAUUUCGUUUCAAUUUUAUGCGAAUAGGUACUGAGUUUAUAAAAGUAACAUAAUAUUGUCUUGUAUAUAAUUAGUUUUUGUGUAUUUCGGAUUCCGUUUACAUCUAGGUACCUACUAUGUCGGGGUCCUACGAGAAAGCUGGCGUAUCAACGCCACGAAUAUUCAGGCGCCCGUAAAUCGUCAAAACGAGUGAAAAGCGCAUUCAGUUGGAUACAUGUGGACGACAAGAUAGUAAACCUGUAAAUUAUAACUCAAGUUGUGGCCAGCUUCAUUGUAAACAAACUUUAGUUUUCAAGUUCAAGGACAAAUGCGUGUCAGUAACAUGGAUAAAUGCUACUUCAUAUGUUUUAUUUCAGUCAAUGAACCUUUGACUGUUAUAGAAGUUUGUCGAGAUAAUAUAAUGACUUUAUCAGCAAUAUGAUGCCAAAGUUAAUACACUUUUUUAAAGAAUGUAUUCUGCCAGAAAUAGUUUUGAGACAUGUUCAAAAAAUGCGAAAUGUAUACCUAGGUAUGAAAGCAGCUGUGUAGCGGUAGUUUCCAGGCAAUAAUGAAGAAGGAUGAGUGAAAACAACACGACAAAUGUUUUUUAUUGUACUAUUAUAGUAGUGCGUUUAGAAUCUACAUUAUCAAUGUUUACAGUAAUGUUUUUUUUGAUGUCAGAAAACUGAAAUGGUGUACUCGUCGUAAUGAACAUAAUGUUCAUAAUGUGAUAUGAAUACAUUGACCUAUUUUAAGGUUUCUGAAAAACAAAAAGGAAAGUUGUUGCUUUUUUAUUUCCUUAUGUAGUAUAGUGAUUAUGGAUGCUUAGAUAUUCUCAAACAUUUUUCCGCUUUGAUUGCAAUCUAUUAUUCUGGUUGCCUUGUUUAUGAAUUAUAGUUUUGAAUUAUUAUUUUGAAUGAGAUUAUUUUUUAAUAAUCAGUCACGUAUCAAGCAUUCAUGUCACAUAAAUACUUGUAAUAAUUGCAGGUUAGUAUAUACAUUCUAUUAAAUAAUGUAUAAGAUAAUAAAAUAAAACUGUCUUACAUUGCA